AGUCUAAAGGCAAUGACUUUUUGAUGUUCUUGAUGUUUCUAAACUAUAGAUUCUAAAUGUUUCAAAUGUUCUUGAUGCUCUGAAACCAUAGGUGUACUUGGCAGGCUUUACCACUGGCAAGUCAAGUAUUUGGGGUGAAGCAUCUCUUGAAAUGUCCCUGUUCGUGACACGGUGUUCUCUAUGGGAAACAGCUUCCAUCUUAUAUCAUCUUAGCAGUAGAUGUAACUGCCACCAGGUGUAGUGUAUCACUUGUAUCAACCUUUUAAAUUAAGGAAAUUAAACUCAAAUUUGGCAUUAUAUAUUAGUAUGGCUGUGUCCUAAACAAUAGUGACUUAAUAUAGAAGUUUAUUUCUCUUGCAUGUAAAAAAAAAAAAGAAAGCAGGCCAGGGCUACUCUGACACUCUGCAGGGCCAGGCAUCCAAGGUCCUUCUGUGUUGCCCUUCCACAUUCUCAACACGUGGCUUUCGUGUCACGGAUGCAGGCAGCUGCACUAGCUAGAAACCUCCUCUCAGCAUUUCUGCUCCCUUCCUUUAAGAACGCUUCUUCAAGUUACUCACACCACACAGGCUUAUCCACCCAAGCUCAGUCAGUUGAUCCUACUAGCUACCGAGGAGGAUGGGAAGUCAUAGUGUUUCUCCUGGGCUGUCAUGGGCCAAAGUAACAUUUCAGGAUUCAUUACUGAGGAAGCAGUAGAGAAGUGCAUAUCAGGAACAGCUAGUGGUCUUCUGUCACAGGGUUGACUACGUUGUGUAUAUCCUGCAACCAAGCGUCACUUCUGAGGUCAGGUUUUAGCUUUUCCGAUUGAGCGGAAAUUUUUCAAUCUCUUGGAUGCUCCUCAGAGUUGCAGCUAGUAAUGUUUCAACUUAUAUGUAGUAGAUUGUGGAAGAAAUUUCUGCCACUCAGUGACUGCUUGGAAUCCUAGAGACCCAGAGGCUUCAAAAAACCAAGCAGCCUGCUCUCACAGCUACACUGCAAGUAUAGACUAUAACAAUUUUCAGUAGAAGUUACCCUGGUGCGGAAUGUAAUCUUUAAAAAAUUAAAACGCACUUUUAACUAUUCUAAAAACUUGAACAGAAUGAUUUGUAAUCCUAACAUCAAGAAAGGUAUAUGAGGUGCAUUGUAAGAUGUUUGCUACCUACCUAAUCAACAAUACUGAGGUUCAUGCACAGGUUAAUCUGAAGAAAACUUUGAGCAGAUUCAAGGUCAUCCCCCUGAUAAUGGCAUUCUUUUUUGUAUGUGUGCUUUCCUUUUUUAUUUAUUGUAUCAAAGCAUUCAAAAUGAAUAUAUGUAACAUGUACAUAAAUUAUAAAGCAUAAUAAAAUGAACACCUCUGAAACCAC
rnacentral:lncRNA from 1 species